CAGAUUUCCUUAAGAACACGAAAAUAAUAGGAACGACGAGGCACAAUGGGAAGCCCGACGUACUGCCGGAAAAUCUUUUACAGACUGUAAUUUUUAUUUAACACGACUUUCUUCCUUCUUUUUCUCUCGGAAAGUUGUUCCUUAUCGCGUGAAAGAACGACGAAACAUUGGAGGGAUUGUGCCACCCUUCGGGCGUCUCAUUUCUCUCGCGAAACUUUUAGUCGCCGGCAAAAUGUUUUGUUAGUGCUACCGAAAUUUCAUUAAAACCGUGAAGUGUAUAUAAGAUACAAAGAAGAAAUUACUUUUCUAAUUUCAAGGAACUUAAUGUAACGGAAAUUAACGCGGAAAUUGUGGGGUGGAAACGCAAGCUUCCCAGUUUCUUGUUAAAAUAUGCAGGUUAAGUGUCAUCGUAUUAACCAAGAUUUUCUGAGUGAACUCUCAAACACUACACAACGCCCUAUCGUACAAUAUUCACGACUUUGUCCAUAAGGGACCGUGUUGUGGCUUCAACUACACCUAUGGCAUCGCUCUGAGAACUCUGUAACAGUGUUGAACAUCUAAACAACAUGUAGUCCAGAUCAUACAUUUACGAAAUGCUGUCGUGAACAUUCAUGAUCCUACAAAAUAGGCCUUGAACAACGGAACCUGGAUCAAUCGUGACCCAAAUUUACGAAAUCUAAAUCUACCUACAUUUUGAAAGAAUAAUUUUUAAAGGGACGAUGUGGAAUUUAGAAAAUUCAAAUAAUAUAAGGUACUGAAUUAAAUUAAAAUUAUGGCUCUCUCCAUGGUCCGCUGAUCGAGGGUUAAAUAAAAAGACCUCAACUCUGCUACAAACUUCUCUAUCGGAAACUGUAACUGCUGCCGUUUGCAUACAGCAACAAACACUUGACGGAAAUUUCUUUGCUCGGAAAGUUUAUUUUACGUUCAAAAGCAAAGUAUCGGCUCUUAAUAUUAUAUACAAGCCCAGAAGCAUCGAAACUUGCCUGAAGGAAGCCACGUUUUUCGUGUUCUUCGUUUCCCCGACUUAUCGUUCCCUCUGUCACUUGAGCAAACGGAAAUUAUAUCUUUACCAAUGUAACCGUAAAAGGCGAUGCAACAGUAUUUCUUUUCUGAAUUUUCCUUUUCCAGACAGUGGAAAAUAAACUUUCCUUCGGCUUAUCAAAUAGAUUGAAUUCACUUUAGCGGUUUGUAAAAACGAAUCAAACUACGUUAUAGCUAUAUUAUUUUUGUGCUAUUUCAUGAAUGAACGAGUAGGUUGAAAGCAUGAGAUGAAGUUUCAUCUUUCAAGACUUUCUUCUUGCGAGAAUCAACUUCUAAAAUUUAUGUUAUGUAAUAAAUAUGACAGCGAAUUCGAUAGAGAAAACACUUUCAACAAUGUUUUAAAAUAAAUAAAAUGUAUUAACACCAUCUUUAUCUUAUAUUUUAUUUUUAUUAAGUGCUAUCUGAUCACGAGCCUUAAUUUUUCUAAUCAUUUGAUUGCGAAUAAAUUUAAUUUCAGUUUCAAUUUCAUUUACGCGACGCAUGUGAUCGCACGAGAAGAGAAAAAAGGAAUCAACGAAUCUAAAUCCGUGAAAUGUUCCCGAUGCUUCGUUAACAUGGGUGCAACUAACCCUGAGCUAACACGAUUUCCCCUGUUUAUUUAGUUUCCUAGUUGCAUUUCCUCUUCUUUUUUCUUUUUUAUUUAAAUUGUCAUUCAGUGCAGUUAUUGGAGAUCCAAG